rnacentral:rRNA from 1 species
CGAACGCUGGCGGCGUGCUUAACACAUGCAAGUCGAACGGAAAGGCCUGCUUUCCCUUGUGGAUUGCGGGUGCUCGAGUGGCGAACGGGUGAGUAACACGUGAGUGAUCUGCCCCCAACUUGGGUAUAAGCCUGGGAAACUGGGUCUAAUUCCCGAUAGGACUGCAGGGUGGUGCCUGUGGUGGAAAACGAUUUUCUAGUGGUUGGGGAUGAGCUCGCGGCCUAUCAGCUUGUUGGUGGGGUAAUGGCCUACCAAGGCGGCGACGGGUAGCCGGCCUGAGAGGGUGGACGGCCACAUUGGGACUGAGAUACGGGCCCAGACUUCUACGGGGAGGCAGCAGUGGGGAAUAUUGCACAAUGGGCGGAAGCCUGAUGCAGCGACGCCGCGUGGGGGAUGACGGCCUUCGGGUUGUAAACUCCUUUCGACCGCGAGGAAGCCGCCUGGUUGGAAGGGUGGUGCGGUAGUGGUAGAAGAAGCACCGGCUAACUACGUGCCAGCAGCCGCGGUAA